AAUUUUGUGGCUUGUCACAUUUUCAAAAUACAACGCUCAAUUAAGCUAUAAUGUUUUUUUUGGUGCUACCCAUUUAUUUUUUCUGAAAUUUAUGUUUUUCUUAGUGUUCAUUCUUAGUCGUCAUUGAAGUACAACUUGGUAAACUACAAAACACAUCAAAUUCAGUUAUAAAAAUUUGAGUAACAAAGGUAUACUAAUUAUUGUAUUGCCUGAAAGAGUGUCAUUGCUAUUAAAAGCAGUGAAAAAUUCAAGUACUCUGGAAGAAAAGAAAAUACGUCAAUUAUUUGGCACAAAUCGGAGUUAAAGACAAAGGAGAUUGUAUAUUUUAUUUGCUAAUAAUAGUUUUUUAAAAUGGCCUAGUUGUAAAAUUAAACUAUGCAGGGAGAGGACAAAUAAUUGGAAUAGAAAAAAUAUUGAUUGCAUAUGCUGCUAUUGAAACUGUGAAUUCAAAUAAGCAUGGCUUAUGCAGAC